rnacentral:hammerhead_ribozyme from 1 species
GCACUGCUGAGGAGUCCCACAAUAGGUCGAGACGGCCGUCCAGUGC